rnacentral:lncRNA from 1 species
CUUCUUCAAAAUAUAAACUGCCUCUAGGGUUUGUCAGAUGGCUUAUUCCACAGCUAUUUUGGCAUUCUGUCCACCUCCAUAUAAUUAUAUUAACCAGUCUCCCCCUUCCCUCCCAGAUCAUAUAUAUAUUGGAGGUGGCCAGUAAGCCAAACGGGCUCUGCGAAUCUGUCUCCGACAAACCUCCUUGGGGGCUCCCUCCAUUCCACAUCAUCAUCAGCACACGUAAUUAUUUCUACUAACCUGAAACACCUUGCUUAUAUAAUAUAAAUGUC